rnacentral:rRNA from 1 species
CAUAGGUUAAUGAGGCGAACCGGGGGAACUGAAACAUCUAAGUACCCCGAGGAAAAGAAAUCAACCGAGAUUCCCCCAGUAGCGGCGAGCGAACGGGGAGCAGCCCAGAGCCUGAAUCAGUGUGUGUGUUAGUGGAAGCGUCUGGAAAGGCGCGCGAUACAGGGUGACAGCCCCGUACACAAAAAUGCACAUGCUGUGAGCUCGAUGAGUAGGGCGGGACACGUGGUAUCCUGUCUGAAUAUGGGGGGACCAUCCUCCAAGGCUAAAUACUCCUGACUGACCGAUAGUGAACCAGUACCGUGAGGGAAAGGCGAAAAGAACCCCGGCGAGGGGAGUGAAAAAGAACCUGAAACCGUGUACGUACAAGCAGUGGGAGCACGCUUAGGCGUGUGACUGCGUACCUUUUGUAUAAUGGGUCAGCGACUUAUAUUCUGUAGCAAGGUUAACCGAAUAGGGGAGCCGAAGGGAAACCGAGUCUUAACUGGGCGUUAAGUUGCAGGGUAUAGACCCGAAACCCGGUGAUCUAGCCAUGGGCAGGUUGAAGGUUGGGUAACACUAACUGGAGGACCGAACCGACUAAUGUUGAAAAAUUAGCGGAUGACUUGUGGCUGGGGGUGAAAGGCCAAUCAAACCGGGAGAUAGCUGGUUCUCCCCGAAAGCUAUUUAGGUAGCGCCUCGUGAAUUCAUCUCCGGGGGUAGAGCACUGUUUCGGCAAGGGGGUCAUCCCGACUUACCAACCCGAUGCAAACUGCGAAUACCGGAGAAUGUUAUCACGGGAGACACACGGCGGGUGCUAACGUCCGUCGUGAAGAGGGAAACAACCCAGACCGCCAGCUAAGGUCCCAAAGUCAUGGUUAAGUGGGAAACGAUGUGGGAAGGCCCAGACAGCCAGGAUGUUGGCUUAGAAGCAGCCAUCAUUUAAAGAAAGCGUAAUAGCUCACUGGUCGAGUCGGCCUGCGCGGAAGAUGUAACGGGGCUAAACCAUGCACCGAAGCUGCGGCAGCGACACUAUGUGUUGUUGGGUAGGGGAGCGUUCUGUAAGCCUGUGAAGGUGUACUGUGAGGUAUGCUGGAGGUAUCAGAAGUGCGAAUGCUGACAUAAGUAACGAUAAAGCGGGUGAAAAGCCCGCUCGCCGGAAGACCAAGGGUUCCUGUCCAACGUUAAUCGGGGCAGGGUGAGUCGACCCCUAAGGCGAGGCCGAAAGGCGUAGUCGAUGGGAAACAGGUUAAUAUUCCUGUACUUGGUGUUACUGCGAAGGGGGGACGGAGAAGGCUAUGUUGGCCGGGCGACGGUUGUCCCGGUUUAAGCGUGUAGGCUGGUUUUCCAGGCAAAUCCGGA